rnacentral:rRNA from 1 species
AAACUUUCAACAAUGGAUCUCUUGGUUCCGGCAUCGAUGAAGAACGCAGCGAAAUGAGAUAACUAGUGUGAAUUGCAGAAUUCCAUGAAUCAUCGAGUCUUUGAACGCACAUUGCGCCCCCUGGUAUUCCGGGGGGCAUGCCUGUCCGAGCGUCAUU